UUAUCGACUGUUUGAUACGACUUCCUAAAGAGCAGGGUAUUCUGAGUUAUUGGAGAGGAAAUGGGGCAAACAUACUUCGUUACAUGCCUUUACAAGCUCUCAAUUUCUCCUUUUAUAAUAUGUACUACGAUAUAUUUCAAAGUUAUCGUUGUGGUGAUUUAAUAAAAACAUUUGGUCCCGGAGCUCUUGCAGGACUUAGCAGUAUAUCUGUUGUUUUUCCACUGCAAUUCUGCACCACAAGAUUAGCGGUGGAUAUAGGAACAGAUAGCGGAGUGAAUGCACCAAAACGAGAAUUUUAUGGGUUAAGGCAUUGCUUAUCAACUGUCGCAAAGGCCCACGGAAUUUUGGGGUUAUAUAGGGGAUAUAUAGCCAGCGCAGUAGGCCUAACGAUCUAUCGAAGUGUUUAUUUCGGACUCUACCAAACAUAUAAGCAAUUUAGUAAAUCAUACUUUCAACAAGCUCACUGGGAGGGAGGCAGUUUUAUAGCAUUUCAAUUGAUGGUA